GGGAGGGCGCUUACCACUUUGUGAUUCAUGACUGGGGUGAAGUCGUAACAAGGUAACCGUAGGGGAACCUGCGGUUGGAUCACCUCCUUACCUGAAAGAAGC
rnacentral:rRNA from 2 species